CCUACGGGAGGCAGCAGUGGGGAAUAUUGCACAAUGGGGGAAACCCUGAUGCAGCGACGCCGCGUGAGUGAAGAAGUAAUUCGUUAUGUAAAGCUCUAUCAGCAGGGAAGAAAAUGACGGUACCUGAGUAAGAAUCCCCGGCUAACUACGUGCCAGCAGCCGCGGUAAUACGGAGGGGGCAAGCGUUAUCCGGAUUUACUGGGUGUAAAGGGAGCGUAGACGGCAGUGCAAGUCUGGAGUGAAAGGCGGGGGCUCAACCCCCGGACUGCUCUGGAAACUGUAAGGCUGGAGUGCAGGAGAGGUAAGUGGAAUUCCUAGUGUAGCGGUGAAAUGCGGAGAUAUUAGGAGGAACACCAGUGGCGAAGGCGGCUUACUGGACUGUAACUGACGUUGAGGCUCGAAAGCGUGGGGAGCAAACAGGAUUAGAUACCCGUGUAGUC
rnacentral:rRNA from 1 species